GAUGAACGCUAGCGACAGGCCUAACACAUGCAAGUCGAGGGGUAACGAUUAAGUAGCUUGCUACUUAAGGCGACGACCGGCGCACGGGUGCGUAACGCGUAUGCAACCUACCCAUUACAAGAGGAUAGCCCGGAGAAAUUUGGAUUAAUACUCUAUGGUAUUUACUUAAAGCAUUUUAAGUAUUUUAAAGGAUUUUUUCCGGUAAUGGAUGGGCAUGCGUAUGAUUAGCUAGUUGGUAGGGUAACGGCCUACCAAGGCAAUGAUCAUUAGGGGUUCUGAGAGGAUAGUCCCCCACACUGGUACUGAGACACGGACCAGACUCCUACGGGAGGCAGCAGUGAGGAAUAUUGGUCAAUGGGCGCAAGCCUGAACCAGCCAAGUCGCGUGCAGGAUGACUGCCCUAUGGGUUGUAAACUGCUUUUAUAUAGGAAUAAUGUGAGUUACGAGUAACUUUUUGAAUGUACUAUAUGAAUAAGCACCGGCUAACUCCGUGCCAGCAGCCGCGGUAAUACGGGGGGUGCAAGCGUUAUCCGGAUUUAUUGGGUUUAAAGGGUGCGUAGGCGGGUAAAUAAGUCAGUGGUGAAAGUCUGUCGCUCAACGAUAGAAUUGCUAUUGAAACUGUUUAUCUUGAAUACAGUAGAGGUAGGCGGAAUAUAUUGUGUAGCGGUGAAAUGCAUAGAUACGAUAUAGAACACCAAUUGCGAAGGCAGCUUACUAUGCUGAGAUUGACGCUGAUGCACGAAAGCGUGGGUAGCGAACAGG
rnacentral:rRNA from 1 species